AACCUCCAGAUCCCUUACCCCUUGGAUCUAAAUAAUGGUCUGGACGGCUACAAAAGGAGAAAAAGUUAAAUUGAGGUGAACUUGGUGUCCCUACUGACACACAAGUUCAUUCCAAAUAUAU
rnacentral:snoRNA from 1 species